rnacentral:rRNA from 1 species
GAUGAACGCUGGCGGCGUGCCUAAUACAUGCAAGUCGAGCGAACAGACGAGGAGCUUGCUCCUCUGACGUUAGCGGCGGACGGGUGAGUAACACGUGGAUACCCUACCUAUAAGACUGGGAUACCUUCGGGAAACCGGUACUACUACCGGUUAAUAUUUUGAACAGCAUAGUUCAAUAGUUAAAGCCGGUUUUGCUGUCACUUCUCGAUGGUUCCGCGCCGCAUUAGUUAGUUCUGAAGGUAACGGCUCACCAAAGCGACGAUGCGUAGCCGACCUGAGAGGGGGAUCGGCCACCCUGGAACGGAGACACGGUACAGACUCCUACGGGAGGCAGCAGUAGAGAAUGUAACGCAAGGGGAGAGAGCAGGACGGAGCAACGCCGCGUGAGUGAUGAAGGUCUUCGGAUCGUAGAACUCUGUUAUUAGUGAAGAACAAAUGUGCAAGUAACUAGGCACGUCUUGACGGUACCGAAUCAGAAAGCCACGGCUAACUACGUG